GCUUAUCACCAUUCCAGAUUGAAUAUACCCGAUCUCGUUUGAUCUCGGAAGUCAAGCAAUCUCUGGAUUGGUUAGUACUUGGAUGGGUAACCGCUUGGGAAUACCAAGUGUGAUAAGCA
rfam:Ciona savignyi cont_62299, whole genome shotgun sequence.